GUGAGGGAGAGGGUGACUAGUGACAGAGGGAGGGGGUGACUGGUGACAGAGUGAAGGAGGGGAUGACUAGUGACAGAAGGAGGGAUGGGGUGACACAGUGACAGAGUGCGGGAGGGGGUGACUAGUGACAGAGUGCGGGAGUGGGUGACUAGUGACAGAGGGAGGGAUGAGGUGACUAGUGACCAUCACCCCCUCCCUCAUUCUGUCACUAGUCACACCCUCCCUCACUAGUCACCCUCCCCUGUCACUAGUCACCCCUCCCUCACUCUGUCACUAGUCACCCAUUCCCUCCCUCACUCUGUCACUAAUCACUACCUCAUUCUGUCAC